UCCUGGCUCAGAUUGAACGCUGGCGGCAGGCCUAACACAUGCAAGUCGAAUGGUAACAGGAAACAGCUUGCUGUUUCGCUGACGAGUGGCGGACGGGUGAGUAAUGUCUGGGAAACUGCCUGAUGGAGGGGGAUAACUACUGGAAACGGUAGCUAAUACCGCAUAACGUCGCAAGACCAAAGAGGGGGACCUUCGGGCCUCUUGCCAUCAGAUGUGCCCAGAUGGGAUUAGCUAGUAGGUGGGGUAACGGCUCACCUAGGCGACGAUCCCUAGCUGGUCUGAGAGGAUGACCAGCCACACUGGAACUGAGACACGGUCCAGACUCCUACGGGAGGCAGCAGUGGGGAAUAUUGCACAAUGGGCGCAAGCCUGAUGCAGCCAUGCCGCGUGUAUGAAGAAGGCCUUCGGGUUGUAAAGUACUUUCAGCGGGGAGGAAGGGAGUAAAGUUAAUACCUUUGCUCAUUGACGUUACCCGCAGAAGAAGCACCGGCUAACUCCGUG
rnacentral:rRNA from 1 species